CUGGUUCAAAUCCAGCUCGGCCC
rnacentral:tRNA from 1 species